rnacentral:rRNA from 1 species
GUAAACGAUGACACCAGCGAUUCGUCGGCGUUAAUAUAUGACCCGACUAGCAGCUUCCGGGAAACCAAAGUUUUUCGUUUCCGGGGGAAGUAUGGUUGCAAAGCUGAAACUUAAAGGAAUUGACGGAAGGGCACCACCAGGAGUGGAGCCUGCGGCUUAAUUUGACCCAACACGGGAAAACUCACCCGGCCCGGACACCGUAAGGAUUGACAGACUGAGAGCUCUUUCUUAAUUCGGUGGGUGGUGGUGCAUGGCCGUUCUUAGUUGGUGGAGCGAUUUGUCUGGUUAAUUCCGAUAACGAACGAGACUCUGGCCUAUUAAAUAGACGGAAUAUCACUUAAGUAUUCCGCGCUUCUUAGAGGGACAAGCGGCGUCUAGCCGCAUGAAAUAGAGCAAUAACAGGUCUGUGAUGCCCUUAGAUGUCCGGGGCUGCACGCGCGCUACACUGAAAGAAUCAGUGUGCUCAUUCGCCUAGUUCGGAAGAACCGGGUAACCCAAGUAAAUUCUUUCGUGCUUGGGAUAGGGAAUUGCAAUUAUUUCCCUUAAACGAGGAAUUCCCAGUAAGUGCGGGUCAUAAGCUCGCGUUGAUUACGUCCCUGCCCUUUGUACACACCGCCCGUCGCUACUACCGAUUGGAUGACUUAGUGAGGUCUUAGGACCGAGGUAAAGGUGCCUUAACGGGUGCUUUUGCUUUGGAAAUUUGAUCGAACUACGUUAUCUAGAGGAAGUAAAAGUCGUAACAAGGUUUCCGUAGGUGAACCUGCGGAAGGA